UACGUAGGGUGCGAGCGUUGUCCGGAAUUACUGGGCGUAAAGAGCUCGUAGGUGGUUUGUCGCGUUGUUCGUGAAAUCCCGUGGCUUAACUGCGGGCGUGCGGGCGAUACGGGCAGACUGGAGUACUGCAGGGGAGACUGGAAUUCCUGGUGUAGCGGUGGAAUGCGCAGAUAUCAGGAGGAACACCGGGUGGCGAAGGCGGGUCUCUGGGCAGUAACUGACGCUGGAGGAGCGAAAGCGUGGGGAGCGAACAGG
rnacentral:rRNA from 1 species